rnacentral:misc_RNA from 1 species
AAAAAAAAAAAAAUUAUAAUGAAAAGAAUAUUUUGAACAUGUACAAAAAAGGAAAAGUAUAAAGAAUUACAACUUGCAUACAAUAGAUUCUACAUUAAGUCUAAACAAACAAAGCCCAUUGGUGCCUUCCAAAACAUAAACUCAGAAAAAAGGUGAAUAGUGAGAAGAGACACUGUACGACAUAGCAUUAAUAUUGGAAAAACAGCACCACGGAUUAUUAAAAAGGCAUGAAAUCAUCACCAGCAAUUGCAUGUACAUCCAUCUUGGAAUCCUGAUCGUGAAGGGCUCCCAUUCUUUCAUCCAAUAUUGCUAACUGGGACUUCACCCAGGCUGGAUUAUAUCUACCUUCAACCCAUAAAGCCUCUCCUGUAUCUUUAUGCUUGAAAUCAGGAUAUUUUGGGUUCCUCUUGUUCUUUCUAUUAUCCCACCACUCCAAAGGAUUAGCGAAAAAGGCUUGCCAUAGUUCUUCUGUGGAAACUGUGCUGUUUGUAGCAUUAUUGCCAAACUUUCGACUUGCUACCAUGCUAUCAGAAUCACGAUCAUAUAAUGCUGGUGACCCAGAGCUCCUUUCAAUAAAAUUUAAUUGCUGGACCACUACCUGCAGGAAGUUGAAAUAAUAAUAAACUAAUGCAGAAAUAAAUAAAUGCAUGUAAGGUCAUGAAUAACGCACUUUGUAGUAGGUCUGCUGCUUCCCAUCAUCAUUUUCAACUACAUCUGAAACCAAUCGACCAGAAACAUAUAUUUGGUGGCCUUUUUCAACAUGCUGAGAAGUAACUUGUGCCAGCUCAUCCCAGAACGUCAAACUGAUCCAUGUUGUCUCCGUGGCGGUUUUCUUGACGGCGAGUCUUGUCCACGCAAGGACCUUGCCAGAAGGGAGGUGCUUGAUUUCAACAGGGGUCCCAACAAUGCCAAUGAAAUGCACUGUGUUACAGAGCUCCUUAUUCCAUGGAACCUCCGCCGGUUUAGCAUACUCUACCACCUGAUUGAAGUUGUUGUCUCUGAAAUGAACCGAACAUUUCAAGCUGUGAUUAAAGCGAAAUCGUUCAAUAUCUGUCCGGGGAUAGAAGGACAAGUGGGUUGGGGAUAAAGCAGGGUUUUGGGAGUUUGCGAGAGGGUUCCCUGGAACACGGAGGAAGGUGUUACUGCAACCGGAGGAUGAUAACAGAGCUUGCUCCAACGCCAUCAUUCUUCGUUUUAGCUAGCAGCUAGAAGGGUUUUGGGUUUUGCGAAUUUCAUCUUCUCCUUAUCCUAAUCCUAAUUCUGAAGAU